AAUAGAUACCCCGGUAGUCCACGCCGUAAACGAUGAGUGCUAAGUGUUAGGGGGUUUCCGCCCCUUAGUGCUGCAGCUAGCGCAUUAAGCACUCCGCCUGGGGAGUACGGUCGCAAGACUGAAACUCAAAGGAAUUGACAGGGGCCCGCACAAGCGGUGGAGCAUGUGGUUUAAUUCGAAGCAACGCGAAGAACCUUACCAGGUCUUGACAUCCCACUGACCGCUAUGGAGACAUAGUUUUCCCUUCGGGGACAGUGGUGACAGGUGGUGCAUGGUUGUCGUCAGCUCGUGUCGUGAGAUGUUGGGUUAAGUCCCGCAACGAGCGCAACCCUUGAUCUUAGUUGCCAUCAUUUAGUUGGGCACUCUAAGGUGACUGCCGGUGACAAACCGGAGGAAGGUGGGGAUGACGUCAAAUCAUCAUGCCCCUUAUGACCUGGGCUACACACGUGCUACAAUGGACGGUACAAACGGUUGCCAACCCGCGAGGGGAGCUAAUCCGAUAAAACCGUUCUCAGUUCGGAUUGUAGGCUGCAACUCGCCUA
rnacentral:rRNA from 1 species